UAGGGAAUCUUCCGCAAUGGACGCAAGUCUGACGGAGCAACGCCGCGUGAGUGAAGAAGGAUUUCGGUUCGUAAAACUCUGUUGUUAGAGAAGAACAGCGCAUAGAGUAACUGUUAUGCGUGUGACGGUAUCUAACCAGAAAGCCACGGCUAACUACGUGCCAGCAGCCGCGGUAAUACGUAGGUGGCAAGCGUUGUCAGGAUUUAUUGGGCGUAAAGCGAGCGCAGGCGGUCAAUUAAGUCUGAUGUGAAAGCCCCCGGCUCAACCGGGGAGGGUCAUUGGAAACUGGUUGACUUGAGUGCAGAAGGGGGUAGUGGAAUUCCAUGUGUAGCGGUGAAAUGCGUAGAUAUAUGGAGGAACACCAGUGGCGAAGGCGACUCUCUGGUCUGUAACUGACGCUGAGGCUCGAAAGCGUGGGUAGCAAACAGG
rnacentral:rRNA from 1 species